rnacentral:misc_RNA from 1 species
AACGCAUCUUGCGCCUUUUGGUAUUCCAAAAGGCACACCUGUUUGAGUGUCAUGAAACCCUCUCAUUAAAUCAUUUUUAUUAAUGUUUUUAAUGGAUGUUGAGUGUUGCUGUUAUUAGCUCACUUUAAAUAUAUAAGUCACUUUUCAAUAAGUUGGAUUGACUUGGUGUAAUAAUUUUAUCAUCACAUCAAGGAAAGUAGCAAUACUGCCAUCUUUUUUUUUGAAGAGAGACUCCUAAAAACCCCUCUAUUAAUUUUAAGACCUCAAAUCAGGUGGGACUACCCGCUGAACUUAA